rnacentral:rRNA from 1 species
UACGUAGGGUGCGAGCGUUGUCCGGAUUUAUUGGGCGUAAAGAGCUCGUAGGCGGUUUGUCGCGUCGGCCGUGAAAUCUCCACGCUUAACGUGGAGCGUGCGGUCGAUACGGGCAGACUUGAGUUCGGUAGGGGAGACUGGAAUUCCUGGUGUAGCGGUGAAAUGCGCAGAUAUCAGGAAGAACACCCGUGGCGAAGGCGGCUCUCUGGGACGGUACUGACGCUGAGACGCGAAAAGCCGUGGGGGAGCGAACAGGG